rnacentral:rRNA from 8 species
UAGCGCGGUGGUCCCACCUGACCCCAUGCCGAACUCAGAAGUGAAACGCCGUAGCGCCGAUGGUAGUGUGGGGUUUCCCCAUGCGAGAGUAGGGAACUGCCAGGC